rnacentral:rRNA from 1 species
GACGAACGCUGGCGGCGUGCUUAACACAUGCAAGUCGAACGGAAAGGCCCUGCUUUUGUGGGGUGCUCGAGUGGCGAACGGGUGAGUAACACGUGAGUAACCUGCCCUUGACUUUGGGAUAACUUCAGGAAACUGGGGCUAAUACCGGAUAGGAGCUCCUGCUGCAUGGUGGGGGUUGGAACGUUUCGGCGGUUGGGGAUGGACUCGCGGCUUAUCAGCUUGUUGGUGGGGUAGUGGCUUACCAAGGCUUUGACGGGUAGCCGGCCUGAGAGGGUGACCGGCGACAUUGGGACUGAGAGACGGCCCAGACUCCUACGGGAGGCAGCAGGGGGGAAUAUUGCACAAUGGGCGGAAGCCUGAUGCAGAAACGCCGCGUGCGGGAUGACGGCUUUCGGGUUGUAAACCGCUGUCGCCUGUGACGAAGCGUGAGUGACGGUAAUGGGUAAAGAAGCACCGGCUAACUACGUG